UACGAAGGUGGCAAGCGUUGUUCGGAUUUACUGGGCGUACAGGGAGCGUAGGCGGUUGGGUAAGCCCUCCGUGAAAUCUCCGGGCCUAACCCGGAAAGUGCGGAGGGGACUGCUCGGCUAGAGGAUGGGAGAGGAGCGCGGAAUUCCCGGUGUAGCGGCGAAAUGCGUAGAGAUCGGGAGGAAGGCCGGUGGCGAAGGCGGCGCUCUGGAACAUUUCUGACGCUGAGGCUCGAAAGCGUGGGGAGCAAACAGG
rnacentral:rRNA from 1 species